AACCUCGAGAAGUGUCGCAGUCGUAUUUUUUGUCCGGGACCGGGAGUCGACGCGUUUCGUUCGCCCGUAAGAAAGAAGGUUUAACGAGAGAAAGAGUUUAACGAAGAUUCUAGUGCCGUGAGGCGUUUUCACGAGGUUGUACGUUUUAAAAGAAAGCCAGACGCUAACGGCCGUCGUGACGCGUACGCAACUUUAUUGCUUCGGUAGCCAUCUUGUCGUACGGGCUCGAGAUUUAUCUCGUCGGCUCAUUACGGUAGCGUCUUGUAAUAAUAUUUCGAAUACUCUCGUGUGUCUCGUUACGGUCUACAAAAUCGGUGUAAAAGACUGUUUUCGACGCUGUGCGCAUCGAAUUGAUCACCGAAUCGUCUUGAAAAGCGGUUAGUUCGAGUUAGAUUCACGCGAGCUAACCUAAAAUUACAAAGUGCGGGAGAGUGUGGGUGACGGAGAACCACACGAAGAUGAAGAAACAAGGAGAGGAAUCAUCAAUCUUCGUCUGAUAACAGUGGCGCACCCGAGUCCCGACCAAAUUACCAAUACGUUGGUAGCUAAAAUGCAGAGGUUGGCGUAGCCAUCGAGAAGAGGAUCCUGCGAUGACCGGAAGAAACACCGAGAAAUGGACUGCACUCGAGUCUCAUUUGGGUGUCUCCAUUCAUGAGAUCAGGGAGGCGGAUUUAAUCGGAAGAAAAAGGAGUAAUAUGACGCAGCGUCCAAAAUCGCGAACGUUCUUGGUGACAUGCGUUGGAUGGUGGCCCCCCCGCGUGAAGAUCUACGAUUACAAUUCUACGGAUCGUUGCUCGGUCAACGGUACAUGCAACAUCUCCGGGGUACACGCGUAUUACAUAAUUCAAAAAGUUCUAAAAUUAGAGGCCCGCGCGUCGAGUCGCGCCGCGGCACGGAUAGGCUGGCCCGAGACGAGAGGAAAAGAAUACGCUCGAAGAAGAUCUCGCGCGAGAGUCUGCGCGAGUUAAAUAUAACGUCUCUGGAGCAGACGACAGGUAGUUGCUCGCCAGCCUCGGCCUGGGGCUCUGUGGUUACGAUGGACGGUGUCCACCACGAUUCGCGUUUGCUUUUUGGUGGAUGGAAGAAACUUCGAGAAUUGUAAUUUGUUUGUAAUUGGGGAACGAUAAUAUACGA